UUGCAUUAGCCAUCCUCUUUUUGAGUUUCCCAUCUGAAAUUUCAGCAAACAAAUACGCAUAUUCCUCUCCACCACCACCACAUUACUCAUCUCCUCCACCUCCACCGGUUCACACUUACCCUAAACCAGUCUACCACUCUCCACCACCACCAGUUCACACCUACCCUAAACCAGUUUACCACUCUCCACCACCACCAGUUCACAAGUACCCUCACCCUAAACCAGUAUACCACUCUCCACCACCCCCAGUUCACAAGUACCCUCAUCCACACCCAGUCUACCAUUCUCCACCACCCCCAGUUCACAAGUACCCCCAUCCUCACCCAGUGUACCACUCUCCCCCACCACCACCACCAAAGAAGUCCUACAAAUACCCAUCUCCCCCACCACCACCAGUUCACACCUACCCUAAACCAGUCUACCACUCUCCUCCACCCCCAGUUCAUCACACCUACCCUAAACCAGUCUACCACUCUCCUCCACCCCCAGUUCACACCUACCCUCACCCUAAACCAGUCUACCACUCUCCACCACCCCCAGUUCACACUUACCCUAAACCAGUCUACCACUCCCCACCACCACCAGUUCACACCUACGUCCCUCACCCUAAGCCAGUCUACCACUCUCCACCACCACCAGUUCACACCUAUCCCCCACAUGUUCCCCACCCAGUUUACCAUUCUCCUCCUCCUCCAGUUCAUUCCCCACCUCCACCACACUAUUACUACAAAUCACCUCCUCCACCUUACCACAACUAGAUAGCCCAUAAUUGGCAUCACACCAUAUGGUAACUUUUCAUGCAACAUAUAUAUUAUAACUUUUCAUAUUCUCUCUUUAUUAACUAGUUAUCGGUAUGAUUGUCGAGUAUAUACUAACAAGGCUAAUUUGAAAUGAAACUUCAUGUGCAAUGAAACAUUCUUUUACUGGUUAAUAUUUUAUUCUAUGUUUCAUUGAAAUUAAUAUUUUUCUAAUAGUAUUUGGUUAUUAAGGGAUUAGAGUAUAUCAGACAUAAACUGACAGAUCAAUAUAUUUGCAUUUGUGUAGGAUCUAAACAGAAAGUGUGAAAGCAAAGAAAGCCAUGCACAAAGAAGAUCAAGGGGAUUCUUCACAUAUAUUUCGUCAGCAUUUGAUUAAGAUUGUUUAGAGGGCUCCGUUUAUUUGUAUUUAAUUUGUGUUUUUGUUGUAUUAUCCACAGCUGUAAGGCACUGCCCCAAUAUGCAUGUGUCUGCAGUUGUUUUCAUGCAUUGUAAUUUUCAAAGUUCGGCUUUGUAUCAAGCUGACUCACAAACUAAAUAAAUAUAUAUCCCCUAUUAUAGUAAUCUGUCCCUUUCAUCUAUGACUCCUUUUAUAUUACUAUUCUUGUGAUAAAAAUAAUCUGUGUUUAUUUGUUUCUACUAAUUAUUUUUGGUUUACCUUUCUCCGUACAAAUAAAAUUUAGUUUAAAAGUGAAUUUGACAGCACUUUUAAGAGAAACCUAAAAGAAAUAGAAGAAUAAUGCUUCUCAAAAGAUUAAAAAAAGACCACUAUAUUAUAUAUAUGUGAACCAAGGAUCAUGUCUCAAUGUGUGUGUUUUUUCUUUUAACGAGAAAGAUCUAUAAUUAUAAUGUAAACAAGAGUACAAUGAGUACUACAACUCACUACAAAAAGAGGUGCAACACUUCAAACGAAAAAAAUAGCACACACCAUAAGCAAUACAAAAGCAUUAGUCUACAAAGCCAAUAGGGUGGCAUUUAACAUGGGGCAGUAAAAUUUUAUCCCACCAUGGAAAAGUGGAUCCAUUAUGGGCAGGUGGCAGUUUUAACUUGCUGCAGUUAAAAAAAGAAGAAAAAAAAAAUUACUUAUUAUUUUAUUCGGUUUCAACUUGCUAUUUCACCUCCUUGUUGCUGCAAUAAAAAAGGAUCUCCAGUAAAUUUGCUCCAAACCAACCCCAUCGGCCAUCUCUACACCUCAUCUGCGCCAAUCCACCAUUGUGUUUUUCUCUUACCAUCUUCAUGAGGAGCUGUUGAGAGUGAUGCCCAAUUGGCCAUGAAAUAUAUCCAACCAAUUUGCGCUCAAAUUUUCCAUGAAUGCAAAACAGACUCCUUUUGUUUGACACAUGCAUUUAUAUUUGUUUGGAUGGUAUCAUUGUGGAGAUGGUUGGAGAAAAUUUCAUGAAGUGAUUCUUCUAUUAGCUGAGGAAGAAAUUGGAAAAGAAUCAUUAUUUUUUUCUACCCAUUAUUUUAUAUGUAUAUAACUGUGUCGGUUUCUUUUCAAUUUUUUGGUUUGAAUGGAAUUUUAUUAAAUUUGAAAAACCAGUUUAUUUUUCCUCGAAAAAAGAAAUAGUUUAUUUUCUAAUAUAAAAGUGUUAUUCUACCACCUGACCAAAAAAAGUGUUAUUCUACCAAAAAAUAUUUAAUUAAAAGCGUUAAUUAUACCCAAAAAUACAAAAAAAAAAUUGCUUUUAAUUAGUAAAUAUGUUGUGGCUCAUACUCGAAGGUUACUUUAUAAGCCCCCCUCAUAUCUCUCUAGGCCCCCUAAAGUUACAAAAAUAUCCUCAAAUAACACAUUCUGUACAUACCUACGGAAGGUGAAUGUUUUUAAUUUUAUUUUUGCAGCUUCUGUACAUACCUACCGGACAGAGAAUUGAGGCAAAUAUUUAGGAAACUAAUAUGAAAAAAAGCCUGAAACUGAGUCCAUAAAUUCUCCAUUGAUGAAAAGCUUUUAAAACUUUAUAGUUGGAAUCUUUACAAAGGAGUCUAAGAUGAUGUGAUUUGCCAUCUCUAUUUCUCUGUCUACCUUUCAACAGGGACUACAAAGAGAAAAUUUUCAAUUGAGAAAAACUAUGAACUUCCUGAUGAACAAAUGGACAAGUUAUCACAAUUGGGGCUGAGAGGUUUCGUUGCCCAGAAGUCCUUUUCCAUCCAUCUAUGAUUUCAAAAUAUCUAUUUGGAAUGUAACUACAGAAAGUGUAAAUCUGAAAAUGUGAAAAUAUGCCUCCGGUAUGUACAUACCGAAGGUGCAAAAUGUGGAGAGAAAAAAUAUGCACUACCGGUUUGUAUCUACUGAAUGUGUUGUGAAGGUUAUUUUUGUAUUUUUAGGAGGCCUAAAAAGAUAUUGGAGGGGCCUAAAAAGUAACCUUCCAUUCUUAGAAGAAAAAAAAAUGGAAGCCAACAUCCAAACACAUAAAAGCCCACAAUCAAUUAUAAACAUAAACAAUUUGUUGUGGGGUAAAAAUUUUUGUAGUAGGUUUAAUUGGCAAAAAGUUAGAAGAAGGUUGCCAUCAACAAAUCUGAACCAUUCACUUAAAAUAUUAAUAUAUCAAUGGUUAAAACAUCAACUUUUUUAUGAUGGGAAAAAACUUCACUUUCCCAUUUUAAACCCCACCAGCCAAUAGAGAGAAACUACAUCAAAAGCUACACCACCUCAACAAGAACAAAAAGAUAAAUGGAGAAAAUUGAACCCGAAAUUUAUCAAGGACAGUCUCAAUUUGUGUGUUUUGAUACUUUUGUGUCUCAAAAUAAUUGAAUCAUUUGUAAAAUAAAAAAAAUUGUCUCACAAUAAUUUACUCGUUUCGCUUUUCAAUACAAUAUUAAUUACUUUUUUUUUAUUUAUAACUCUAAUUAAUACUACUUUCAUCAUUCCAAAUUUAAUAUCAAUAUAUUGAAUUUGGAGUAACGUAGAAUGUACAAAUAUUUGACAACACACUUAAAACCAUUUUUCACUCUUUCACUUAUAUAUUUUUUCUUAAUAUAUGUGAAAUGAACAAACGACUCACUUAUAUUAUAAAUCAGAGAAGUAUUUAGUUCAAGACUUUGUAUUGCUAAACUUUGACAUGUCUUGUGUUUAGUUUAGCCCCUUUAUUGAACAGGAAAAAAUACCGCAACUUCAGUAUCCCGGGCUAAAUGCCACCCCCCAUUCCCCAUAAGUUGCCAAAAGAAUAAAUAAACUCUGCUUUUGAUACAUAGACAUCCCUCGUUCCAACCAUCUAUGCAUAAAGACUCAAUAUAACGGCAAUUCAUCGAAGUACAUAAACCAAUUGUUUAAGGUGUACUAUUAGAGAAUCAAACCGAGGAACUAGUGGCGGAGCCAGGAAAUUUAUGGAGCUUGGGCAAAAAAUUAAUCGUAAAUUCACAUGUGACAUAAUAUAUAAACAGUCAUAAAUUGAAAGAAAAAUUUUUUUUUUCCUAAAAAAAAUUGAAAUAAAAGAUGUUUAUCAUUUUGUAAACAAAAGUACAAUUUAAAAUAUGAUUAUUAAUUGAAAUUGACCACGUAAUAUACAUGAAGUCUGAAAAUUGACCCUGCUGUAAUUAAAUAACAUGUAUUCUGACCAUGUAAUUCGAGAUUUUUAUUAUUUAUAACAUGUAAUAUACGCGAAGUCCAAAAAAGCAACCGAGAGAUUUAAUUUUUUCAUGAUUUCCUAGAGGCGAGUUAAGAACGUUAAAAUAUGGCUUUAACAAAAAAAAUAUAAAUUUUCGACAAACGACAAAUUAAUUAUGAUUUUUUAAAGUGUCAAAAGCUCAAAAAACAAAACAACGGAAAUCUCAAUCAAUAAAUCGAAUUUUGAGCUCAUUAUUUGCAGAGAGAUCUAUAAAAAUACAUAAAAAGGAUCUGUAAAGUUUCAUAGCAUUUCGAAGUCGUUUAAAUUUAUUUUGAUUUUUCAACUGAAACAUGUAAAAUUGAAAUUUUGUUUCGCGUAAGCGUAUACUCACAAGUCAAAUUUAGUUCCCUAAUUUUGUAGGCAUGACUAGAACAUGAUAAGAACCUUCACAAUGAAAUUUUGUAAUUUUUAAACUAGAUACAAAUUAAUUAUAAAUUGUUUAAGAAAUUCAUAAUUAUGAUGGAAUAAAAAUUCAUAAUUAAUUUAUCCCUGGUCGAAGAAAUUUAAUUUUGAGUAAAGCUAUAUUUUAACGUGCUAAAUAUGUAUGAAAAAAAUAGUGAAAAAAUUCAACAUGUAGGGCACAUUUUUAGACUACACGUAUAUUAUAGAGUGGUCAAAAUUAAAUAAGAAGAAAUUCAAGUUGCAAUGCUAGAAUAUAUAUUUUUUAUUUUAUUGGGUCAUUUUUCAAACAUAAAGUAUAUUACAAGGUCAAUUUGAACAAUUAACCCGUUAAAAUAAGAGAGAUGAACCCGUCAAUAGCGUACUAAAUAAAAUUUCAAGACUUAUUUGCGUGUGACAAUUUUCAGAUUGCCCAAAUUUUUCUUUUUGUAAAUGUGUUAACGGGCUUUUGGGUUGAGUCUAAUGUGCAAAAAUUAUCGAUCGAGCCCGGGCGAUCGUCUGGGGUCGCCAUACGGUAGAACCGCCCCUGCUAGGAACGAGGGGCGGAUCCACUUAGGUGUUAUGUGGAGCUAAAGCUCCACAUGUUUUUUCCUUUUUUUUUUGUUAUAAUUGAUAAAACGAAAAAGAAGUGACUUAGUAAAUAAUUCUCUCAUUUUCCCUUCUCUCUUAGUCUCGUAAAGUCAUUUCUAGUUUUUACGUGACAAAUUAUUGAGGAUGUCUGAGUUUUAUCCAAAUGAUUUUAUAGAUAUGUCGGAAGUGACGUUACGCACUCAACUUGUGAAUUAUGUUACAAAUGUUUAAAAUUUGCUAAGUUCAAAGGGCUUUUAGAUCUUUAUGCAAAACUUGUGGAAACAAAUAAGUGCAAACAAGAUGUAUGUUAGCACACUACUGUAUAUUAGACUAUUUGAUCUGCGAGUUUUUGUGUUUCUUACACAAUCUCGACGAGAAUAAUAUUUAUCGAUUAACAAAAAAUACAUUUAACUAAUUUGCAUUAUUAUACAAGGGUGAUUAAAUGGAGUAAGCCGAAUAGAGGUCGAAUGAAAUGUAAUAUUGAUGCAUCGUUUCCUAAUAAUGAGAACCGAAUUUGAAUAGGCAUUUGCAUUUGGGAUGAUGAAGGUGCAUUUGUGAUUGCAAUAACAUAAUGUUUAACUUCAAAGUGUGAUGUGCACAUUGAUGAAGCAUUGGGUUUGUUGACAACUCUUCAAUGGGUGCAUGAGUUACAUACAGUUAGGGCCUAUAGAGUUCGAACUUGAUUCCAAAAAAAGUGGUUGAUAGCUUUGGAGCUAAUAGGCAUGAUUCGACGGAAUUUGGAGCUAUUAUUAAUUAUUGUAAAAUAUUGUUUAAUCAUUUAUAUGAAAACUCGAGUGUAGAGUUUGUUCGGAGACAAGCAAAUGGGGUUGUCCAUGAAUUAGCAAAGGCGGCCACAUUAUCGAUUAGUUUCCAUAUUUUGGUUAUGCCACCACAUUGUAUUGAACACAUUUUAAUUAAUGAUAUUCUAUAAGUUUUCCCCUCUAAAAAAAAAACUAAUUUGCAUUAUUAUUUAUAUGAAAUUUUAACUACAUAUAUACCGAAAGUAUAGAUUUGCCCAUGGUAGAAACCCGUCAAAAUUUGUUAUUUCCACCAAUUAGUGAAUACUAUCCAUUUUACAAAGCCAUCAUUCGGUUAAGAAACUGUCAAAUUGUUAUCCUGCAUUCACUUAUAAUAGCAUGUGUCUUUCACUGUUAGACAAACAAACAAAUAUUAACAGCUUAAACUUUUUGAGAAUUUGUACAUAUUUUAAAAAAAUAUCAUAUGAAUAUGUAUUUAAUCUCACUUUUUGUACUUUACUACUAAAGAAGGUUUCAGAUUUCGCCACCAGAAUACUUUCCAUGUACUUCUCUUAUUUUAUCAUCACAUCUCUCACUUUCUUCUUUCAAGGUAGUUUUAUGAUCUAUUAAAAAGUUCACGGGGAAAUAAACAUCUAAGUAGGUUUUAGGCUAUGCCAAACUCUUUAAAAAGUUACGUUAGAUCCUUAAAAAAAGUUAUGUUAGAUCCUUAAAAGAUCAGAUUGAGAGACAAGGAAAGGGGCAUGUAAUUUCUUGGAUUGCUACAUGAAUAUCUACAAGUACAGACAAUUCAAUUUAGGAUUAAUGGUGUUUUUGGAUUAUUAUUGAAGAAGAAGAAGGUGAGGGGGGUACAUUACAACAA
rnacentral:lncRNA from 1 species